UAAACGUUGGNAANUAGUUGUUGGCGACAUUCCAANGUUGUCGGUGCCGCAAGNUAACGCAUUAAGUUCCCCGCCUUGGGGAGUACGGCCGCAAGGCUAAAACUUCAAAGGAAUUGACGGGGGCCCGCACAAGCAGCGGAGCAUGUGGCUUAAUUCGACGCAACGCGAAGAACCUUACCAAGGCUUGACAUAUACCGGAAAGCAUUAGAGAUAGUGCCCCCCUUGUGGUCGGUAUACAGGUGGUGCAUGGCUGUCGUCAGCUCGUGUCGUGAGAUGUUGGGUUAAGUCCCGCAACGAGCGCAACCCUUGUCCUGUGUUGCCAGCAUGCCCUUCGGGGUGAUGGGGACUCACAGGAGACCGCCGGGGUCAACUCGGAGGAAGGUGGGGACGACGUCAAGUCAUCAUGCCCCUUAUGUCUUGGGCUGCACACGUGCUACAAUGGCCGGUACAAAGAGCUGCGAUGCCGCGAGGCGGAGCGAAUCUCAAAAAGCCGGUCUCAGUUCGGAUUGGGGUCUGCAACUCGACCCCAUGAAGUCGGAGUUGCUAGUAAUCGCAGAUCAGCAUUGCUGCGGUGAAUACGUUCCCGGGCCUUG
rnacentral:rRNA from 1 species